rnacentral:lncRNA from 1 species
GCUGCCGCCCGCCGGAGCAUGUCGUGGACUCCAGCGGAGACAAAGGCGCUCUGCGCAGUGUGGGGCAAUGAGCGGCUGGCGGAGGCGCGGUACCAGCAGCUUUAAGGAGCCAGUAUGGUGGCUGGCAGCAAGGACCCCCGGGCCAGCCAAGUAGGAGCUUGUGUCUAGGGCCCUGGCCAAGCUGGGCUAUGAGCGGACCUGUCCCAGUGCUGGGAGGCAUCAAGCAUUUGCACGUGUUACAAUCGGGUGAAAGAACAUGGUGUUGCGAAAAGAAAGAGCAGUUACACAGUAGAACAGUUGGAACAGGUGUUUGCUCAGGCAGGAUGGGAUGCUCAGCCCUGCCAGACUGUACUUCUUAACAGCAGUAGCUUGUACCAGGAGCUGGAGUCAGAUGGCGGCACCAUGGAGGACUAUUCAUUCACAGGAGUACUGGGAACCCAAAGUCAGGAUCUCCAUGGCUAUCCGACAGAUCAGGAAUUAAAAAUAAGUUCAACAAGAGUCUUCUGAAGAAGCACAGAAGAGAGACAUCAGGCAGAAUACUGUACAGAUUUUGGAAUCGGUACAGUUGAAAUGGGAACUUUUUCAGAGUUGGACAGAAUUUUCAAGGCUCCUUCUUUCUAAUAAACUGGCCGUUUUUUGGAAUUGGUUAUAACACCCGUUGGAAAGGGGAUCUUCAUUACCAUUAUGCUGAGAUCACCUCCCAGGUGCCCCUUGGCAAGCGACUUCAGGAGUACUUCAACCCUGAGAAGUCUGAGGGAGGGAUCAUUAUGACACAAGUGUAGAAAACGAACUGGAAAAAAUGUUUAUUACACAUUUUUAGAGAUCACUAUUAGUGAAGCUAGGCGCUUGGAGCUGCAAGUGGAAAUUGACUGGUAACCCAUUGCCUACUCCAACUCGAUCAGUAGGAAUGUUCGAUAUUUAUUGCCUGGAAUUAUUCCUAAAAGCCCGGGCCUUUAUGCCAUUGGCUAUGAAGAAUGUAUUGAGAGGCUCCUCUCACCGUACAUGCAGCAACAUUCCCUGGACCCAGGAAAAGAAGGCGGGGUUGACCUGGAAACCCUUUCAGCACAAGCCUCAUUACAAGUGGUAAUAGAACCCACCAGAAUUAUCUUUUGCCACCUCAGGACUGCUGAGGUCAGGGCUCUGCAGCAGAGCUUAUUUUUACAUUUCCAAGUGAAUACCAAAGUCUUCAGCAAAUAUUGGGUUGGUAUUAACAGAUUUGUCUCUCAGAGCUGUACUGGGGACCCCAGAGUUUCCCUCAAAUCCAUCUACAUCAAAUUUGUGGAAGUAGAGAGAGAUUUUCUUUCCACUGGCUCUUUAGUUGAGUGCCCUGAAAAAGCCAUUGGAUGCCUCCUAAAAUUUAACAACUGA